rnacentral:rRNA from 1 species
UGUUUGAUGUUCUAACGUGGACCCGUGAUCCGGGUUGCGGACAGUGUCUGGUGGGUAGUUUGACUGGGGCGGUCUCCUCCUAAAGAGUAACGGAGGAGCACGAAGGUUGGCUAAUCCUGGUCGGACAUCAGGAGGUUAGUGCAAUGGCAUAAGCCAGCUUGACUGCGAGCGUGACGGCGCGAGCAGGUGCGAAAGCAGGUCAUAGUGAUCCGGUGGUUCUGAAUGGAAGGGCCAUCGCUCAACGGAUAAAAGGUACUCCGGGGAUAACAGGCUGAUACCGCCCAAGAGUUCAUAUCGACGGCGGUGUUUGGCACCUCGAUGUCGGCUCAUCACAUCCUGGGGCUGAAGUAGGUCCCAAGGGUAUGGCUGUUCGCCAUUUAAAGUGGUACGCGAGCUGGGUUUAGAACGUCGUGAGACAGUUCGGUCCCUAUCUGCCGUGGGCGCUGGAGAACUGAGGGGGGCUGCUCCUAGUACGAGAGGACCGGAGUGGACGCAUCACUGGUGUUCGGGUUGUCAUGCCAAUGGCACUGCCCGGUAGCUAAAUGCGGAAGAGAUAAGUGCUGAAAGCAUCUAAGCACGAAACUUGCCCCGAGAUGAGUUCUCCCUGACCCUUUAAGGGUCCUGAAGGAACGUUG